UAAGAUGUAGGAGGCGAGCGUUAUCCGGAUUUAUUGGGCGUAAAGCGGGCGUAGGCGGCUCUUCAAGUCAGAUGUAAAAUUUCCCGGCUCAACUGGGAAGGAACAUUUGAUACUGCUAGGCUAGAGUGCAGCAGAGGGAGGUAGAAUUCCCGGUGUAGUGGUGAAAUGCGUAGAUAUCGGGAGGAAUACCAGUGGCGAAGGCGGCCUCCAAGGCUGUAACUGACGCUGAGGCCCGAAAGCGUGGGUAGCGAACAGGAUUAGAUACCCUGGUAGUCCACGCCGUAAACGAUGGACACUAGGUAUGGGGAGUAUCGACCCUUUCCGUGCCGAAGCUAACGCAUCAAGUGUCCCGCCUGGGGAGUACGGUCGCAAGACUA
rnacentral:rRNA from 1 species